CUUGCCCUCAAGGAGCUCACAGUCUAUUGAGUUACUUUUAAGACUUUCCCACUAGAUUGGGAGCUCCUGGAGGGCAGG
rfam:Cavia porcellus supercont2_7 genomic scaffold, whole genome shotgun sequence.